CCCAAGGCGCGUGAGAGAACGCUGGUUAAGGAACUCGGCAAAUUUACACCGUAACUUCGGGAGAAGGUGUGCCCUUUGAUGUGUAGGACUUCGCGUCUGAAGCGUCGGGGGGUUGCAGAGAAACGGGGGUGGCGACUGUUUACUAAAAACACAGGACUCUGCGAACUCGCAAGAGGACGUAUAGGGUCUGACGCCUGCCCGGUGCUGGAAGGUUAAGGGGAGUUGUCAGCGCAAGCGAAGCAACGAACCGAAGCCCCAGUAAACGGCGGCCGUAACAUUAACGGUCCUAAGGUAGCGAAAUUCCUUGUCGGGUAAGUUCCGACCUGCACGAAUGGCGUAACGACUUCCCCACUGUCUCGACCAGCGACUCAGCGAAAUUGUAAUCGCGGUGAAGAUACCGUGUACCCGCGGCAAGACGGAAAGACCCCAUGAACCUUUACUGCAACUUGACAGUGAAGCUCGGGACAGACUGCGUAGGAUAGGUGGGAGGCUGUGAAGCCGGGAUUCUGGUCUCGGCAGAGCCAACCUUGAAAUACCACCCUGUUUGUUCUGGGCUUCUAACCCAGGCGAGUAAGCCUCGUCGGGGACACUGUCUGGUGGGCAGUUUGACUGGGGCGGUCGCCUCCCAAAAAGUAACGGAGGCGCGCGAAGGUUCCCUCAGGCUGAUUGGAAACCAGCCGUAGAGUGUAAUGGCAUAAGGGAGCUUGACUGUGAGACCGACAGGUCGAGCAGGUGCGAAAGCAGGUCAUAGUGAUCCGGCAGUUCUGCAUGGAAGGGCUGUCGCUCAUCGGACAAAAGGUACUCUGGGGAUAACAGGCUGAUCGCGCCUGAGAGUUCAUAUCGGCGGCGCGGUUUGGCACCUCGAUGUCGGCUCAUCGCAUCCUGGGGCUGGAGCAGGUCCCAAGGGUUUGGCUGUUCGCCAAUUAAAGCGGUACGCGAGCUGGGUUUAGAACGUCGUGAGACAGUUCGGUCCCUAUCUGCCGUGGGCGCAGGAUACUUGAGAGGGUCUAACCAUAGUACGAGAGGACCUGGUUGGACGUACCUCUGGUGAUCCGGUUGUUCCGCCUGGAGCAUCGCCGGGUAGCUAUGUACGGAAUGGAUAACCACUGAAAGCAUCUAAGUGGGAAGCCGGCCUCAAGAUGAGGUAUCCCGGGACAUUAGUCCCCUGAAGGCCCGUCGAAGACUACGACGUAAUAGGCUAGGUGUGGAAGCGCAGCAAUGCGUGGAGCUAACUAGUACUAAUCGGCCGUGAGGCUUGACC
rnacentral:rRNA from 1 species